GAUGUUUGGACAUUCACAACCAUUUUGUUAUUGUCAAAAUUAAUAAAAUUGGACAAUGAUUUAAAUAUUGAAAUAAGCUAUUUUGCAGCAUCUAAUAUAAAAAAUUUCUAAACGAAUUAGUUAAGUGUUAGUGGAUAUAAAGUGCAAAAAAAAGUGUAUAAUUCAUUUUAAAUCUCAAAAAUACGCACUUAAUAGUUGAAAUUUGAACUUUAAACCCAAUUAUCUCGAAAACUAUAAGUUUCCCGCGGCUAUAUCUAUAUAUAUUCUUGAUCUGGAGGAUCUCCUCUAUCCGCCCAUACCCAUUUUAUCCCCGAAAGCGUGGGACGUUAUUCUAAAGCCGACCCGAAUUAUUAUCUUACUUCUACACAUCUACAGUGUUUAGAAUAAUUUCAUCGCGACAUAAUGGCAUCAAAAAUACAUUAUAAAAGUCACGUUAGAGUUAAGUGAUAAUUAUUUAUUAUGCAGUUCGUGUCGAAGAGAAGCUUCAAAAUUGGUAAAGGAACAAACAAAUACUAGUAAUGAUACUAACGUUGAUGCAAGUGACCAUGAAGAUGGUGCUGACAGUGAUAGUAACGCAUCUCCCGUUGUUUUCAUCAUUCCGUUCCUUGUCGUUCAAUAGUAAAUCCAAAGAUUCACAAUCCAGCUCGGCAUCCCAAGUUAGUGCAACUCAAUUACCUGUUAUAAACGAUGCAUUGCGACUAUUAAAUCAAUCGCCGAUUCCUUCAAAAAUAUUGAAUGAUUAUCAAUUUUUGAUUAAUAAAAUAAAUCAGACAUCUGACAGCUUAAAAAAAUUUUUUGCUCUCAGCUACUGACGAAGGAUCAAUUGACGACGAUGGGGAAAAUUUUCGUUCAAUAAUUGAAAAGCUGCACGAUAAAUUCAACGACAAAGAAACAGAAAAGUCUUUGAAAAUACAAAUUUUAACCUUGUUAGCUGAAAAAUGGAGUGAAAGACGUAUUUUUGAAACUAUGAAUUCAUCAAGAGUAGCACACGUCCAAAAACUAUCUAUCUACUAUCUGUGUAUGUUCUAUCCAUCAAAACAUUAGUUGAUGAUGCUUGGUGCAAAUGUUCACUUUUUAAGGAGGAAUACAGAAAAGUCGUUGAAACACUGUAAUGAUUGCUCGGACAUGAUAAUAUGUGAGACUCCAACAGUAAAAUGUUAUUUGAGUGAAUGUAACAAGUGUCCAGGGGUAGAUGAGUUGAGGAACAUUUUACUGACAUGUUUUGAGAAUCAGGAAAUCGAGAAUGUCACGUACAAGCGUUGGGUAUCAAAACCAAGGUGUAGUUUAGAAACUUUUAUACAGCCUACAGAAGAAUUUAUUGAAAACUUUUGUAGUGAUUUGAAAGUUCUUCUACCUAUUCAUCAUUGCAAAAGAAACAAGCUCAGUUUUUAAAAACAAUGAAGGAAACACUAAAACCAAAUGAAUUUGUGAUAUUUUGUGAUUGAAGAAGACUAUAAUACAGCAUUGAAUGACAGAUUUACAAAACUUACCGAUCCAAACAGGGUUAUUUCAGUCGGUAACCGACUCCCUCUCAGUGAA